UGGGGAAUAUUGGACACUGGGGGGAACCCUGAUCCAGCCAUGCCGCGUGUGUGAAGAAGGCCUUAUGGUUGUAAAGCACUUUAAGCGAGGAGGAGGGUACUGGUAUUAAUACUACCAGCUACUGGACGUUACUCGCAGAAUAAGCACCGGCUAACUCUGUGCCAGCAGCCGCGGUAAUACAGAGGGUGCGAGCGUUAAUCGGAUUUACUGGGCGUAAAGCGUGCGUAGGCGGCUAAUUGAGUCGGAUGUGAAAUCCCUGUGCUUAACUUGGGAAUUGCAUUCGAUACUGGUUAGCUAGAGUGUGGGGGAGGAUGGUAGAAUUCCAGGUGUAGCGGAGAAAUGCGUAGAGAUCUGGAGGAAUACCGAUGGCGAAGGCAGCCAUCUGGCCUAACACUGACGCUGAGGUACGAAAGCAUGGGGAGCAAACACG
rnacentral:rRNA from 1 species